UACAGAGGUCUCAAGCGUUAUUCGGAUUCACUGGGCGUAAAGGGUGCGCAGGCGGCCGAGUGUGUGAGGCGUGAAAGCCCGGGGCUUAACCCCGGAAUUGCACCUCAAACUACACGGCUAGAGCAUUGGAGAGGGUAGCAGAAUUCAUGGUGUAGCAGUGAAAUGCGUAGAUAUCAUGAGGAAUACCAGAGGCGAAGGCGACUUUCUGGACAAAUACUGACACUGAGGCACGAAAGCAUGGGGAGCAAACAGG
rnacentral:rRNA from 1 species